ensembl:miRNA Mir6322 microRNA 6322
CAGGGCUCUGUGUGCCUACGGUCCACUUGUGCUGUGGGGAAAAGUGCAGGUCUGUACGCAUCUUUCCUGUCUGUACCACAUGGCACGGUGGAACACAGGUCUCUGUCUUCCUCCUCCUG